rnacentral:rRNA from 1 species
AGAUUGAACGCUGGCGGUAUGCUUAACACAUGCAAGUCGAACGGCAGCACAGGGUAGCUUGCUAUCCGGGUGGCGAGUGGCGGACGGGUGAGUAACGCGUAGGAAUCUACCUUUUCGUGGGGGAUAACCCGGGGAAACUCGGGCUAAUACCGCAUACGCCCUACGGGGGAAAGCGGGGGACCUUCGGGCCUCGCGCGAAACGAUGAGCCUGCGUCCUAUCAGGGUAGUUGGUGAGGUAAUCGGCUCACCAAGCCGACGACGGGUAGCUGGUCUGAGAGGACGACCAGCCACACUGGGACUGAGACACGGCCCAGACUCCUACGGGAGCAGCAGGUGGGAAUAGUUGGACAAGUGGGGGAAACCCUGAUCAGCAAUACCGCGUGUGUGAAGAGG